rnacentral:rRNA from 1 species
UACGAAGGGGGCUAGCGUUGCUCGGAAUCACUGGGCGUAAAGGGUGCGUAGGCGGGUCUUUAAGUCAGGGGUGAAAUCCUGGAGCUCAACUCCAGAACUGCCUUCGAUACUGGCGAUCUUGAGUCCGGGAGAGGUGAGUGGAACUCCGAGUGUAGAGGUGAAAUGCGUAGAUAUUGGGAGGAACACCAGUGGCGAAGGCGGCUCACUGGACCGGUUCUGACGCUGAUGCGCGAAAGCGUGGGGAGCAAACGGG